UUUAAAUUUUUUCCCUUAAUUAGGAAUUAGGGAUAAAAUGGUUGUUUCGAUCUUUUUAAGGUGUUGAUUUUAAGAAUAAAACAAUCAGAAGCUUCUGAGAAGACAAAAGCUUCAUGAUUCGACUGGUAGUCGUCCAAACCGUUUAGAAUUGAGAUGAGAAAACCUUCAUGAUUCUACGUGAUUCUGGAGAAAUUUCUUGAUUCUCGAGGGCUGGAGAAGAACAAAGAAAAAAAAGGGAAUGGAGAAGGGAGAUGGGAGAUCGAGGCGAAGACCACGGUCGUUAGACUGGGUCCGAAAACUCACUAUCAAUCCGGUGGUUGGUGGCUAGAGUGGUUACAAGCAUCCUGAUCGGUAUGGGUUCCGGUGCAAGCUGCUGGACCGCCAGUCGCUUCAUCAUCUCAGCGUAACAUUUUAUUCUUCGAUUUUUUCUUAAUAUUGUUUUUAUAAUACUUUACUUUAAUUAAAUGUUCCGAUGUUCCCACUGAAUGAUUUGCUUGAAUAUUGAAGAUUUUCGAUGUUAAAUAUAAUUAGCAUUAGUAUAAUUAUAAAAUAAUAUAAUUUGCUUGAUAUCUUCUAUAUUCAUGCUAAUUAUAAAAAUCAAUAUUCAAUUAGUUUUGCUUUAAUUAAAAUAAACGUUCAAAAUCUUCAUGUUAAUUAUUGAAAAUCUUCAUGCAUAAAAUGAUUUGCUUCCAUGACGCAUGGAAAUUUUCAGUUGACGUUUGGAUACUUGAUCUAUUUCUUUUUCGGGUUUUAGAGAAUAUGCAGUAAACUCAUGCAUGAUAUAAUACAUACACAAUGAUGAUCAUUUGGAAAUUCCACAAUGUACAUGCAUAUAUACCACUUAAAAUUGUUUGAUAUAAUAUUCAAUGUUUUUCAAUGAAUUCUUAGGAAAAAGAUAAGUGGAAGAGUUCGUGAGCCUGAAACAAGAAAGCCGAUAAGAAACCCCAUAGAAUAAGUAAAUUGGAACAAAACCACAAAUUUUUUUUCAUGGUGUCAACGGAACAGUUGCUUAUGAAUUCAUUGUGGAUUUGAGAGUCUAUAAGCAUGAAAAUGUUGCCAGCCGUAUUCCAUGCUCUAUUCCAUGCUCUUACAAUUCAUGGCCUGAUCUAGCUACACUCAUGAUUUAACCCACUGAAAGUGAAAGCAAGGUAUGAUUCAUUAAGUAUCUUUUCAUUUACCAACAUAUGAUGUUCCUCCUCUCCCUUUCUGACGUCCAUAUUCAAUAUCUUUUGCUGCUGGAGCUGGGUAGUUUCUUUGAUGCUCCUAUCUCCAUUGGGGAAAAGACUGUUCAGAUUGAGAACAUUGAUAUCCACAACAAUGUUAUGAAGGAUAAAUCUAAAAUAUUUUUACAAGGCCAUGGACUUGUGUACUUUUUUAUGACAAAGUUUUCCUAAAAUGUGUAAGUUAUAAAAUGUUACCAUGUGGUUCGAAACGAGAUAAACUGCUUCCUUGAGAUUUCAAAAGUGACAUUUAAUUAGUUUAAGGUUACUAACAUAAAAUCUAAUACAGUAAACUUAAAAAGAAACUUUCAUUUAUACAAUAUUCUAAGUAUUAUUUAAUUUGAUAUACUCUUAGUUUCAAUUAUUAAGUUUAAAUCCUGACAGUUUUAAGUAUAAAAAAAAAAUUAAAAUGUAUGGUGGCAUCCUGACGCAUGGUAGUUCAUGGCCUAUGCUACUCUGGCAGGUUAGUAAUGGUGGCAUCCUUUUUUCAGUUUCUUUUAAAAUUCCUUGUUAAUAGCUGGAUUUUAGGUUUGCAUUUGGAGUGUGGAGAUUUAGAGGGUUUUGCUUUAGAUUCCUCUUAAUGAUUUGAAGGUCCUAUUAAUCUGGUUGGCUUACCUAAAUAAGUAUAGAUAACUAUAACUAUAUAUCCAAAGAAAAGGAGGAAAAAAUUUAGAUGCUGAGGACAUUUGGUCCAUUAUGACUUGUAGUAUACCAGUCUGCCAAACUUUUAGCCAUAGGUAUUGGAGCAUUAUCCACUAUGCUUCGCAUACAUAUAUAUAUUAUAUUUAUAAUGAGAGAGAAGUGGCUGUGAAGGAUGGGGAGAAAAGAAAAAAAAGGAGGAAGUUUUAGUGUUAAAUUUAGGUUUUGGAUGCCUAAAAAUGACAUGGCUUUGGUGGCUGCAAAAAAUAAAAGAGAAAUAAUGGGAAAGAAAAUAAAUGACUGGUUUGAGUUUAAGCUUGGCAAUCAAAGUAUGAAAUUCUGAUACUUGAAAAUACCAGAAAUUGCUGCAACAGCCGUUUCAAUUGUUGAGAAAUGCAUAUCUAGGGACAAGUGGCCUGAGUAGUAUGAUACUAAAAAAAGCAAGGUUUGUUGGAAAACAAUUAUGUUUGUUCCAGACCUUGUCUAUCACAGGAUAUCUUCUGGCAAAACUUGUGUUUGCAGACCCAAAUGCAGCAAAAUUUUGACAACCGAAGAGGAUUCUGAACUUGUCAAUGCCUUCUCCUGCAUGAUCAGUGCUAACCCAAAAAGAAAAGGUGGUCCGAGGAGCGUGAUGCGUUGUAUGAGUUAAACUAAAUUGUGCACAUAUAUCCCUGGUUUGUGUACAUUUGAUUGUCUCUAAUGGCCAUAAGUUGGAAUUGGCUAUUGUAGUGUAAUAUGAAUGAAUGCCAUUUUUCCUUUUGUUUAUUUGAUUAGCAGGAAGUCGAAUUGAGAAGAGCACCAAGAAGCUAGUAUUUCAUGGUAAAAUACUACUAACAUCAAUGUAGCCAGCAACAAAUCAAUAAAUGGAACUGUCACCCUAAUUAAGUGUCUUAAGUUUUUGUUGCAGUCACAAAUUUAACAUUUAAUGACUCACUACAUGAUAUAUGCGAUACAAUUUUGACACGUCUAUACUUUUAUCCCGAUUAAUUUCUCCAAAGCACUUCUGAGCAGGUUCAAUAGAUUUCAUCCACCUGAAGAUGAUAAUGUGUAUGAUAUGAAACUUAGAGAACUUCUGAGCAGGUGUCUCUAAUCUUCUUCGAAGUGGUUUCCAGGAAAGUCUAGAACAAUUAAUACAGUCUGAUGUGGAAAGACAGGGUCCUUCUUCCAUUGAUUGGGAUCUGCAUAGAAACUUGCCAACUCGAGCCCCACUGGAGUGUGAUCUGGAGCAGCGGAGGGAUGAAACAAAUAAUGAUCAGAAUGAUGCUAUUAACAGGCCUUCAUUGGUGCUACUGCUACCUUCUUCUCCAGUGCCACCACCACAACUGCUGCGGCAUCAGGAUUUACAUCACACUAGCUGGUCUAGGCACAGCAUGCACAGAUGAGAAAUUCAUGAAUGGGAGAUGGUUAAUGAUCUAAGAGCUGGUAUGGCAAAGACUCCAGCAGGUCAUGAGCCACAUGCAGAGGAUGUUGGAAGCCUGCAUGUAUAUGCAGCUGGAGUUAAAGUGAUCUGUCAGGCACGAAGUCUCUGCUGCUUUGAAUAGAUAGGUUGGUGAAAAAGGUUUGAGUGCAGAAACAUCCGAGGAUGGAUCUAACAGGGGUCAUGUGAGGAAAGGGACUUGCUGUGUUUGUUGUGAUAACCAUAUCAAUUCACUUUUGAACAGAUGUGGACACAUGUGCACAUGUUCAAAAUGUGCGAAUUAGUUGGUUCGUGGUGGAGGGAAAUGCCCAUUGUGCCGAGCACCUAUUGUGGAGGUAAUCCAUGCAUACUCAAUACUGUAGGGAGAUGAAAGAAGAGAAUGACUGGUAAGGUCUAAGAGAGCCAAUGUCAAUUAAAGGCUCCAAUCUGUAGUUGUUGUUGCUGCUGGUGUUUUUCUGAUUAUGUGGAACACUAUGCGGUGUAUAAUUGGAAUAACAAUUGGCAUCAUUGAUUCAUCAUUCAUGCGUAAAUAAAAUUUCGUCCUUUAUUUUUCUUUUCUUUUUGUCUCCGCCCUCCAUAGCUGGUUCUUCCAAGCCUUCUCCAUUUCAUUAGAUAUCUUCCAUCUUCACAAGGUUAUCAAACA